UGGGGAAUAUUGCACAAUGGAGGGAACUCUGAUGCAGCGACGCCGCGUGAACGAAGAUGGCUUUCGAGUCGUAAAGUUCUUUUAUAUGGGAAGAUAAUGACGGUACCAUAAGAAAAAGCCCCGGCUAACUACGUGCCAGCAGCCGCGGUAAUACGUAGGGGGCUAGCGUUGUCCGGAAUCACUGGGCGUAAAGGGUUCGCAGGCGGAAAUGCAAGUCAGGUGUAAAAGGCAGUAGCUUAACUACUGUAAGCAUUUGAAACUGCAUAUCUUGAGAAGAGUAGAGGUAAGUGGAAUUUUUAGUGUAGCGGUGAAAUGCGUAGAUAUUAAAAAGAAUACCGGUGGCGAAGGCGACUUACUGGGCUCAUUCUGACGCUGAGGAACGAAAGCGUGGGUAGCAAACAGG
rnacentral:rRNA from 2 species